ACUCCUACGGGAGGCAGCAGUGGGGAAUAUUGCACAAUGGGCGGAAGCCUGAUGCAGCAACGCCGCGUGCGGGAUGACGGCCUUCGGGUUGUAAACCGCUUUCGCCUGUGACGAAGCGUGAGUGACGGUAAUGGGUAAAGAAGCACCGGCUAACUAC
rnacentral:rRNA from 1 species